GUCAAGGUGGUGGAGUGGUUAACACGUUCGCCUGCUAUUACUUCGGUACACCCCGGUAAAGUCAGCGGAUGCCUUCUGGGCGCGCAGGUUCGAAUCCUGUCCUUGACG